rnacentral:rRNA from 1 species
AGUGAACGCUGGCGGUAGGCCUAACACAUGCAAGUCGAACGGCAGCACAGUAAGAGCUUGCUCUUACGGGUGGCGAGUGGCGGACGGGUGAGGAAUACAUCGGAAUCUACUUUUUCGUGGGGGAUAACGUAGGGAAACUUACGCUAAUACCGCAUCCGACCUACGGGUGAAAGCAGGGGAUCUUCGCACCUUGCGCGAUUGAAUGAGCCGCUGUCGGAUUAGCUAGUUGGCGGGGUAAAGGCCCACCAAGGCGACGACCCGUAGCUGGUCUGAGAGGAUGAUCAGCCACACUGGAACUGAGACACGGUCCAGACUCCUACGGGAGGCAGCAGUGGGGAAUAUUGGACAAUGGGCGCAAGCCUGAUCCAGCCAUACCGCGUGGGUGAAGAAGGCCUUCGGGUUGUAAAGCCCUUUUGUUGGGAAAGAAAAGCAGCAGGUUAAUACCCCGCUGUUCUGACGGUACCCAAAGAAUAAGCACCGGCUAACUUCGUG